GAAGAAAAGCAGUAAGAUAGAAGAUGGGAACAUGAAAGAGAGGAAAAUGUCAUUUAAAGUGGAAUAUUGGCUCUGCUAAUAUGAGGCUAUACUGAAAUCCAGAUUAAAAAUUGCCUAUAGAGAAGCUUCUAAAUCUCUGCAUUGAGGAUUCCUUCAUUCUAAGGAGUGUGUGUUGAGACAGACAGAAGCAGAGAGAAAUAGAGAUGAAAACACAGGGAGAAUGGAAGACAGAAACACAUUUAUCACUUCUUCUUAGAGCCAAAACAGGAAUUUUGGUACCAUGAGGAGAGAGAAAGACAGAGAGAGAGACAGAGAGAGAUCCCUCCAUAAUAUGUAUGACCAAUUUGCAUAAUGAGAGCCUCUCUGAGGGACCACUAUCAGCUUAACAGCUUAUAGAUCAAGGAACAAUUAUAGAAUUAUAGAUCAAUUAUAGAAUUAUAGAGCUUAUAGAUCAAGGAACAAAAGUAGCCAAAUGGAUUGUCUCAUGCCAUAGUCCAUUCCCGUUGUUGGUGCUAGCCUAAAGACCUGUUCAGAAGAGAAUGGAGCUUAUACAAGUCACACUCCAGUUUCUCUCAUGCUGGUUAUCAAAGGGAACACAAAAUACUUCUGUGAAUUGAACCUGAUGACCUGUCCCACAAAGCCUGGCUCACUGUUGAUGCUGAUUAGAUGUGACCCUGAGGGAUUGCAAGACAUGCACCACUGCAAGAGAUGACAUAAACAGCAGGACGUUUUAAUACCUAUUAAAAAACAACAACAAAAACAGAAACAAACCUAUUAAAGUGGGAAGAUGGCUGAAAUCCCUGGAGACAGAAUUGAUGUUGCAGAAACUGAAUGCACACCAGGUGAGAGAAAGCUUCUUUAUCAACCGUAGAACAAUAAUAGAAGUAUUGGCCAGCCUAUUCCUCAUUAGCAGCAGAAGCCUCCAGGGUUUCAAAAAAUCAAUGAAGUAAAGAAGGACUGUAUCUCCCAUUGAUAAAAAGAAAAGAAAUGAACAAAACUAGGUAAAGAAAACAAAACAACAACAACAAAACUGCUUUCCCUUACCAUACCUCCAGAGAGUUGCAUCUCCCAAAUAUGUUUGAAAACCAGAGACUUUGAAUAUCUUGUUGAAGAGGUGGAGAUCAAUGCAGCUAAUUGUUUGCCAAAAAAUAAAAAGUUCAUUUACUUUCUGA